GGUAGAAUAGUCUGACUCAACCAGACCCUGGAAUACGGUAGCCUGGUCGAAUAUCACUGUCUACCGGAACACAGGCUGGUCGGGGGGAGCUUCCGGAGGUCAUGUGGCGAGCUGGGCGAGUGGUUGGGUGGAGAACCGAAGUGUGUGUUGGGUCCAGAGGAUGCCUACAACACCAUAGGCUCCGAUAGUAGUAGUAGUGUGAGUACUACUUCUACUUCUACCGCUAGCAACACCGGGCUCUACAUCGGACUAUUCUUCGGGCUCAUCCUGGCGAUAGUCUUCAUAGGAGUGCUAGUCUACUUCAGAAUGUUUUGGGCGCCCAGCCGUACACGUGAACUAACAGUCUUGGCUUCAGGGCAGGUCGCUAAAAUGAAACCACUACAUGCGUGAGAUGACCCGACCCGCCCCGCCCCAACCAACCAUCAUGACCUGCCCGCCCCCUGGCAUACAUUGUUUCCAGAAACCCCUAAAUGACCGACUCUUCCAUGCCUGAGAUGACCCGCCCUGCCCUGCGUCAUGACCUCCCGGCAUAAAUUAAAACCGUGCGCUGAAUGGAUGACUUUUUAAUGCUGGAGGUC